CUCCUAACCAAUAUAUCGUCAGUAUAAAGAUGAUCUAUGUUGCUUCAAGAAUCUUGGGAGCCAUGCGAAUCUUGAGGCAUCGAAGGACUUUCAAAGCCAUGCGAGGAGAGUUUGUCCAAGUCAAGGUAAGGAUCCACAGAAUUUGUAUUACCAUAAUCAAUGAAGUCCAUCGGUAAAUCCAAAUAAUCUUGUACCACCAUAUCACCAAUAUUUCCUCCUCCAACAGGAUUAAAAACUGAUGUACCCCCUUUUAAGUGUGGGGCAUUGAUGGUGAGUGUGGGAGGGUACAAAGCUGGAUUGACAGGAGGUAUUGGAAGGAACGAAGAUGGAUGCAUAAAACUGCUGAUAGGUUUGGCCCCGUGAUGAUAGUAGUGCGGUGGAAAAUUACUGAUGUAUUUGGCAAUGUCUGGGUUUGUUGCAGGUUCGAUGGAUAGUGGUUGAAUGCCCGCAAGCAUUGGAAAUUGCUCUGAUGGCGGAUAUUGAUAAAAAGAUUCCAAAUGAGGAUAGGUGUAGUUAGCUUGGUAAGUGUAAGGGCAGCCACUUUGUUCAUUGCUACCGGGAGGAGGAUCAAAUAAACUGCCCUUUUCUUCUCCAAGUUCAUCUUGUUGGACUAGUUCAUCAUCAGGAUUUCCAUCAUUGCUUUGAUUAAAUGAACCAGGAUUUUCAUCAUUCCUUUGCCGAGCUUUGAAAGAUUUGUGAUUCUUUUUAUAAAUCUUGCACAGGACAUAAUCAUCAAGCUACAAGAAUAACACGUUAGAUCCAAAGAAUAAAUAAUAGUAUCAAUGAAGAACAAUUACG
rnacentral:lncRNA from 1 species